AACGAACGCUGGCGGCGCGCCUAAUACAUGCAAGUCGAGCGAGAAGACGUAGCAAUACGUUUGUAAAGCGGCGAACGGGUGAGGAAUACAUGGGUAACCUACCCUCGAGUGGGGAAUAACUAGCCGAAAGGUUAGCUAAUACCGCGUACGCUCCUUGGACUUCGGUUCAGGGAGGAAAGCGAUACCGUGGGUAUCGCGCUCUUGGAUGGGCUCAUGUCCUAUCAGCUUGUUGGUGAGGAACGGCUCACCAAGG
rnacentral:rRNA from 1 species